UUUUUUCAUAGACAAUUCUUUUUAUUACAGAUUCUUGUUUCAGAGGUUACAUUUCAUUUUUAAACAGUUCUUUACUAAUCUAACGGAUUACAUUUGGUUUCAACGCAUUUUUGGGAGAAUUUUUUAUUUCUACUUUUUUUUUGUAAUAUUUCAGGGUGACAUUUGAGUUAGAUUUCAUUUCUACGCAUUUUUUUACAAGGCUAAUCGGUUACAUCAUUUAUUACAUGAUUUUUUUUAUUACAUUUCUUUUCUUACAUUAGGUUACCUAUUUUUCUACGUAAAAGUGUUUCCUCGGAUAAAAAAAAAAAAAAAAAAAAACCGAUUGGCUAUGGUUCCACAUUUUCGAGACAAUUUACCGACUUUUGAACAAAAUUUUCCUGGUUUUCAAGACAAGAUUCCAGAUCUUCGAAAAAACUUUUUGCGGUGGAAGGUACAUACAUAUAUGUAUUCCCUAUUCUGUGUCUGGUCCCAAUUAGCGUUGGCAAAUCUACGUAUUCCUUAUUCUAUGUCUGAAUACAAUUUACAAAACAAGCUUUUUCGAUGUCGAGCUUUCCGCGAAGAUAGCUUUCCCAAGGACAACUUUUCCUCGGGGUCCGUACACUCCAUUCAUGUCGGCCCGAGUAUUUUUGCGCAGAAGAUAACAUUGAAUCAUGGACUUAGUUCAAAUUCGAAUCGAGGAAACGCAACAACGUCGCCAUCACGUUUAAUGGCCAACGAACGUCACUUCGAACAGAGGAGUACACGAUCAGUAAAAUGAAUAAAAUGUUGAACAUUUAUAGAAUUGAAAAGGCUGAGGAAGGAGCUAUACAUGUAUGUAUGUAUGUAUCUACAUUUAUCCUCUGUUUUCUCGUGAAAAGACGUAUUAAUAAUCACCAAUCGGUGGCAUGAUAAAACGACAUUACAUUCGAUAUGACAUUUUAUACAAUGGUAAAUGUAAUAUUUCUAAUAAAGAGAAACGAAUAAAAGAAACAAUAGAAAAAGAAACACACUCACUGUCUACUACAUAUUGUAAGAAUCUCGGAUAUGGUAUAUUAUCGCAAAAGUGUGUAUCGAUUUGAAAAAUUGUUAUCGAUCGUGCACAUAUCUUUUUCAUCAAUUUUGUCCGUUCGUAACAAUAAAGCGUUAUUAAUAUCAUUAGGACGCAUCUUAAUCUACCUAAGACACGUGUCCACGCAUAAAUAUGUAUCUCAAGUAUACAAUUAGAAUUCACAAGUCGUUUCCAGUUCUAUCGUUGUUCGACGUGUUCGAGCCAUGUCGCGUCUUAUUCGUACUUGGUACGCGAUUCGAAAGGAACUUUUUCAGAAACGAUGUUAAACGAAAACGCAUUGUCGAACUGAAAAUGCCUGAUUAUAAUCAAACGAUAUGUCGACAAUGUUGAUGUAAGGAAAAGAAAAAUUCAAACGGCUUUGGCCGUUCUUGCUUCGAUUGCGCAAGAUUUUGUCGAAUAACGUCGCGAUACGAUCCAUUUUUAUAACAAUCUUGGGUUAAAACGACCCAUAUGAAGUAUGAGACCAGUCGGAUUAUGUCGUACAAAAUAAAGAAACGGUUGAUCCAACUUUAA